GAUUAAGUAGCCCUGUUAAGUUUUUACCUCUCUGAUUGGAGCUUAUUUUAACCUCAAUUAAGCCAUCAGCCUGGGUUUCUGAAGGCAGAGCAAUAGCAGAGCCAUUAUCAUUCUCCCCACCUUUUGUAUGAAAAUGAUGUUGAGGAUAGGUUGCUUUGGGGAUUGCUCUGUGGCAGGUAACCAACGCCGAGAAUCGGGAGGAUAAAUGGUGCCAGACUCCCAGAGGUGCCGUGGCACUGUGUAAUUAUUGUUCCAGACAGCUGAAAGCAGCAGGGUUUCUGGUUCCCCUGCUUAGUUUCAGUCUGCCAUGAUUGCUGGCACAGAAAGAUGCUGAUUGUAAGUAAACAUCAAUUAUGCCCUGCUACCCCACUGCUAACAUCUCUGGGCUUGCAAGAAACAGAAGCACAGUGCUGUGCUUGGCUCCUGCUACCAAAACCCACACCUAUAUGGAUUUCAGCUUCCAGGUUUUUGUCUUGCUUGGUCAAGGGACAUUGCUCCUAAAUUCCAUCCUCAUGAAUAACGGCUUCACGCAUGGCUUGUUUGCUGCUCAGUUCCUUCCCGUGUCCAGCUUCCCUCCUUGCCAGCAUUUCCAGCCAUGGAGAUGACACCUGAUGGUGAGCUGAUCAAUGGCUGGUUUCCUUCCUCUGAACUCACCCAGUCCCACACACACCACAGUCUGUCGGCCUUGCAGAUGUUCCCAUUUGUUUUCAUGGGAUAUUUGAAAUAAUUUCAAAUCCACCAGUGACUGAAUGAAAAUAAUUCAUGCCUGAAGUAAAUGUGCUGAUUUUAAUCAUAUGAAUCCUGUUGUAGAGAGGGACACACAUGCAUAUGUAUAUACUUUCCACACUCUUUUCAGACAUGUGCAUGUUUUCUCAUGCCGAUAAUAUA
rnacentral:lncRNA from 1 species